UACGUAGGGGGCAAGCGUUGUCCGGAAUCAUUGGGCGUAAAGCGCGUGUAGGCGGCCCGAUAAGUCCGCUGUGAAAGUCCAGGGCUCAACCCUGGGAUGCCGGUGGAUACUGUCGGGCUAGAAUCCGGAAGAGGCGAGUGGAAUUCCUGGUGUAGCGGUGGAAUGCGCAGAUAUCAGGAGGAACACCAAUAGCGAAGGCAGCUCGCUGGGACGGUAUUGACGCUGAGGCGCGAAAGCGUGGGGAGCAAACAGG
rnacentral:rRNA from 1 species